rnacentral:rRNA from 1 species
UACGUAGGGGGCAAGCGUUGUCCGGAUUUACUGGGCGUAAAGAGCGUGUAGGCGGCAAAGCAGGUCUGUUGUGAAAACUGGAGGCUCAACCUCCAGACGUCGACAGAAACCGCUUGGCUAGAGUCCGGAAGAGGAGAGUGGAAUUCCUGGGGUAGCGGUGAAAUGCGCAGAUAUCAGGAAGAACACCAAUGGCGAAGGCAGCUCUCUGGGACAGUACUGACGCUGAGACGCGAAAGCGUGGGGAGCAAACAGG